rnacentral:rRNA from 1 species
AAAAGGUAAUAGGCCUAUUUAAUAAGUGUAGGAGGGGCGGUUUAUUUUGGUACAAAAGUUAGACUAAAUUAAUUAAUUUUUGUGUGACUACAGUAGGAUUAGUUGGCAUUAUAAGAAGUGCGGGAUUGUUCAAGUAGGUCAGUCAUGAGUUUUAUUUUUUAAAGGGGUGUUUGUGUAUAUUUAAAGUAUUGGUUAAAUUUGUGCCAGCAGCUGCGGUUAGACUUAUGAUGCAAGUAGUUAUGUUACAGGUUUUAGGGUAGAGGAGUGUCAGGCAGAGGUGAAAUUGAGUCUUGCGGGCUGGUAAAGGCUAAUAUCUUUUAGUGUGACUAGGAUUAGAGACCCUGUUAAUAGAAAGUAUACACCUAGGGUUAGUUAUUUAGAUGAUUUGGCGGCUUGUUUAAGUUAGAGGGACUUGCUUGUAAUGGAUAAACCGCAUUUUAUUUCACUUUAAUUUGUUAUGUAUACCGUCAUCUAAAUAUUCUUUAUUGGGGUUUUAAUUAUUGAGGAAUAGUGUGAGAAGUUAGAUCAAGGUGCAGAGAUUUAAAAGGCAGGGUUAGUCACAGUAGGGAGGCAUUAAACGUGUUUCUUGUAAAUAAAGGGUUAAAGGUGGAUUUGAUUGUAAUUACUUGAAGUUGAAUUGACACGGCGAGUGUACAAAUUGCCCGUCAGUCUCUUUGAGAUAAGUCGAAACAAAGUAAAACUACCUGAAGGUGGUUUU